ACCAGGCAAGGCUCAAUCAACCAUAGGAAAGGGCACUUGAAGGUUUGUCUCUGAAGCAGAAGAAAGCAAAGGCCCAUGAGCGAUCUCCUCGCUGAGGAACACACACAGACCCAUUGGAAACUCAUGAUGGUCUACACAAUGUUCCAAGGAGGCAUCGGCACUGACCAGACCACAGAACUGUUUAGCUUCAGAAAGAAUGAAGAAAGAAAGAAAGAUUGAGGUAAGAAAAUUAAGAGGGAAGAAAGAAAAAAAUAGUCAAGAAAAAAGUGGAAAAAUUCUGGAUUUAAUUUAACAGUGAGACUUCAUUCAAAUUGUAUGGAGUAUCAUGGCAGAGUAUCAUGUUUUUAUGAACAUACCUUCAGUGUAAA